GGACAGGUGGCCGAGUGGUUGAAGGCACCGGUCUCGAAAACCGGCGAACCGGCAACGGUUCCGUGAGUUCGAAUCUCACCCUGUCCG
rnacentral:tRNA from 1 species